CCCGGGCCGACGGGUAGGAGGUAACGCGUAUGCAACCUUACGGUCAGGGGGGAAUAACCCGGCGAAAGUCGGACUAAUACCGCAUGAAGCAGGGGCCCCGCAUGGGGAUAUUUGCUAAAGAUUCAUCGCUGAUAGAUAGGCAUGCGUUCCAUUAGGCAGUUGGCGGGGUAACGGCCCACCAAACCGACGAUGGAUAGGGGUUCUGAGAGGAAGGUCCCCCACAUUGGUACUGAGACACGGACCAA
rnacentral:rRNA from 1 species